rnacentral:tRNA from 1 species
GUCAUAGUAUUAUAGUGGUAGUACGCAGCGUUGUGGCUGCUACGACCGCGGUUCGAUUCCGCGCUAUGACA